rnacentral:lncRNA from 1 species
AUUUUUGAACCACAGCUGACUGAGGCAUGCACCAGAUCUGUCAUUUCUGGAAUCUUGUGCGAAUUGUGUAUCAACUUGAGGGGCCACUCACGGACUUGUCAUCUGCUCUCACCAGGACUUCAGAGGAUCUCAAUGCUGCUGUUCUCACAGCCUGACAGGGACAAAAUAACAGGAAACUUGCAAAUUUGUCUUUAUUCUUGCUUAUGCUAUAAAAUUGAAGAGUCUCUGCAUGGUCUGUUCCAGGCAUCUCCCUGAGCCAGCCCAAGGAACUGCCUUUAGGUCUCUUCCUUAUCCCUUCUCUCUCUCACGCCUUCUUUUGUUCCCUGCCCUUCUUCCUGGCCUCUCUCUCUUACUUUCAUUUCUUCUGGCAAUUAGUGGACAAGCCAGAAGAAAACAAUUAAGAUGGUCAUCAAUUUGGGCAGUAUUCUGUUCACACUUAUUUGAGACUUGUUCUGUAGUAUAUGUGAACAUACUCAGGACGUAAAUGAAAUAGAAUAGUGAGCCAGAAAAUUGUGAUAAAUAAAGGUGCUUCUACCCAUAUUUUGUUUACAUUCUGGGUGGUGCAUGAGAUUAAAAGCUGUGAGACUUUGCAAAUAGAAUGAGGUAGAUGACUAGUUUUUGCUGUGCAUAAGGUCAACAAUAUCACCCAACAAAUAGCCAGCUCCUUGCCACACUCCCUUCCUUCAUUCUAGUCAUCUAUCUUACAAGCAUAAUUGAAUUAGAUCCUCAUAAAAGUCUUACAAGGCACAUACUACUGAUGGUAGUGGAGGCCUGUCUGGAGCGGCUGCUGCCAUGAUGCUGGCUUCAGGGGGUGAGGCAUGGCCAGGGCUGCACACUCCAAAGAGCCAGCAGGAGCCGGGAAAAGGCAGAAGCCCUGGCAGGGCAGGAACCUUGUGCUCCCUGGGAGCAGCUGCGGCCAUCCAGCUGUGGCUGUGGACCUGGGCAUCCCUGUGCUCUUGGGAGCUGGGAUUGGGCAGGAGCCCUGCCCUUCUGGAGUGUAGCUGCAGCUGCCCAAGCCAUGGCUACGGACCUGGGCGUCCCCUCUUGGGGGCCUGGGAAAGGCCCCCUCC